CCCCAACUCCCGCUGUGUCCGAGCCCUGGCUAAGAGAGAGGACCUGACAGGGUGGCAGAUAGAAGAUCUGGAUCCCCAUUUCCUCAACUCCAUGUUUCAAGGAAGGAGCAGAAACUCCCCCAGUGAGCUCUGCUGACCUGUGUUAGCACCCAGAAGGGACAGCAGAGGUGCGCGUGGCAGGGCAUGGAGUGUCUUGGAGUCUUACUCAGCACUUCUUUCUCCUCGCAGGCCCACUGCUGACACCACAGACACUGCUGGCACGCCUGUUGGUGGUGGCAGGGAGCCCUGUUGCAGACCGCAAACUCCAAGCCACUGCCUUACUGCUCAUGCAAAACCUCCACAGCAGGAUCCACAGAGCUGUGGGGGCCAUGUGGGCUGCUGAGAUCCCCCUGCUGCUACAGUGUCUCCAAGUUCCUGAGGGCGUUGCUGGAGACCAUGGAGGAUGAGGCCUGGACCAAGGCCCUGAGCUGUGAGCUGAGCCAGUGGCUGAGCAGCUCUCCCAGCAGCUCUGGAGAAAAGAUGGAGCUGGACAGUGUGAGAGCUCAGGCCACACGCAGCGCUCUCAUCCUCGCCCAUGGCAGCUCAGCACUGCGUGCCUCCAAGGAACAGCUGCUCGCCCACCUGGAGGGAGACAUCAUGGGCAGCAUCCUGAUGCUCUACAGCUGCAGCUGCUGGAACUUGCUGAAGAAGUAUUUCUUGGGCAACCCCGUCUCCCCAGUGCCCCUCAAGGUGGUUCUGGCCCUGGAGCAGUUGAGGUAAGGGCCAGAAUGCAGAGAUUAAAAUCUCUUCCUGAAUCGGCUGAGAGAUGAUAUAAAUACAGCCUUUCUACUACUCUUCUAGGAUGCAAUGUUCCAGGAGCGAGCACUGCAUCCAGCUCUGGGGGCCUCAGCAGAAGAAAGCCAUGGAUCUGCUGGAGCAGGUCAAGAGGAGGGCCAAGAGUGGAGGACUGAAGCACCUCUCCUAUGAAGAAAAGCUGAAAAAGUUGGAGCUAUUCAGCUUACAGAAGGAUGGGCUUCAAAGGGACCCAUAGCUGCCUUCCAGUAUUUAAAGGGCGCAUACAGGAAAGUUGUACAUUUUAUAAGGGUG
ensembl:lncRNA